rnacentral:rRNA from 1 species
UGUACACACCGCCCGUCACACCACGAGAGUUUGUAACACCCGAAGUCGGUGGGGUAACCUUUUUGGAGCCAGCCGCCUAAGGUGGGACAGAUGAUUGGGGUGAAGUCGUAACAAGGUAGCCGUAUCGGAAGGUGCGGCUGGAUCACCUCCUUUCUAUGGAGA